AGUUUUCGAUCCUGGUCAGAUUAACGCCGCAGAUGCUUAAGACAUGCAAGUCGAACGGCAGCACGGACUUCGGUCUGGGCGGCGAGUGGCGAACGGGUGAGUAAUGUAUCGGAACGUGCCUAGUAGCGGAGAUAACUACAAAGUAGCUAAUACUGCAUACGCCCUCGGGGAAAGCGGGGUAUCUUCGGGCCUCGCACUAUUAGAGCGGCCGAUAUCGGAUUAGCUAGUUGGUGGGGUAACGGCUCGGGCACGAUCCUGCGUCAGCUGGAGGACGACGGGAGCCACACUGGGACUGGAGACACGGCCCAGACUCCUACGGGAGGCAGCAGUGGGGAAUUUUGGACAAUGGGGAAACCCUGAUCCAGCCAUCCUGCUGCAGACAUGAUGCCUCUGGCGUUGUAAAAGCACUUCCUUGGCAGGAAAGAAACGGCACGCAUAACGCAACUGACGGUACCUGCAAUAAGCACCGGCUAACUACGCCAGCAGCCGCGGUAAUACGUAGGGUGCAAGCGUUAAUCGGAAUUACCUGGCGUAGCGUGCGCAGGCGUUCCGAAAGAAAGAUGUGAAAUCCCAGAGCUUAACUUUCUGGAACUGUUAUUUUAACUACCGAGCUAGAGUGUGUCAGAGGGAGGUGGAAUUCCGCGUGUAGCAGCGAACAGUGUAGAUAUGCGGAGGAACACCGAUGGCGAAGGCAGCCUCCUGGGAUAACACUGACGCUCAUGCACGAAAGCGUGGGGAGCAAACAGGAUUGUAUGCCCUGGUAGUCCACGCCCUAAACGAUGUCAACUAGUCGUUGGGGCCUUCGUAUCGGUAGCGCAGCUAACGGGCAAGUAGUUGACCGCCUGGGGAGUACGGUCGCAAAGAUUAAAACUCAAAGGAAUUGACGGGGACUGCACAAGCGGUGGAUGAUGUGGAUUGGCAUGGGAAUUUACACCGCGAAAACCUACCUACCCUUUAAUAUCUGGAACUCCGAACGAGAUUUCAGAGUGCUCGCAAGAGAACCGGAACACAGGUGCUUAUGGCUGUCAGUCACUGUGUCGUGAGAUGUUGGGUUAAGUCCCGCAACGAGCGCAACUCCCUUGUCAUUAGUUGCUACGAAAGGGCACUCUAUCGAGACUGCCGGUGACAAACCGGAGGAAGGUGGGGAUGACGUCAAGUCCUCGGCCCUCCAUGGGUAGGGCUUCACACUGCGCAAUGGUCGGGACAGAGGGUCGCCAACCCGCGAGGGGUAUUUCAUCCAGAAACCCGAUCGUAGUCCGGAUCGCAGUCUGCAACUCGACUGCGUGAAGUCGGACCGAAUCGCGGAUCAGCAUGUCGCGGUGAAUACGUUCCCGGGUCUUGCAGCACACCGCCCGUCACACCAUGGGAGUGGGUUUACCAGAAGUAGUUAGCCUAACCGUAAGGAGGGCGAUUACCACGGUAGGAUUCACAUCGGGGUGAAGUCGUAACAAGGUGG
rnacentral:rRNA from 1 species